CUCGAAAAUUGGCGGAGAAAUAGUGACUACUUUUGUAUUUCUUGUAUCGUCAGAGAUGCAUUGUCAGGAGUAAAGUGCAGCUGAGCUGCGACCCCUAGUGUCGGUCGUGGGUAUUACACCCUACACAACGCAGAGUAAAAUCUACGGCCUUUUGCGGACGUUCAAUGGAUGAUUGUGCAGCUUGAAAGAGAUUCGCACCUUCUUUCUCUCGCAUCACCACUCGCUCGGCGAGGGCAUACGACGUUGCACGCGCUGGAGGCCACGCCCCCUCCAGCUCCAUGCGGACCUGAGUGAGGACAGCCUUUUUUCACGACGGGAGGACAACAGGGUGACAAGAACUAAAUCAUCCAGACUAGAGAUAAAUUGUAUUAUUAUG